AGCGUACACGGUGGAUGCCCUGGCAGUCAGAGGCGAUGAAGGACGUGCUAAUCUGCGAUAAGCGUCGGUAAGGUGAUAUGAACCGUUAUAACCGGCGAUUUCCGAAUGGGGAAACCCAGUGUGAUUCGUCACACUAUCAUUAACUGAAUCCAUAGGUUAAUGAGGCGAACCGGGGGAACUGAAACAUCUAAGUACCCCGAGGAAAAGAAAUCAACCGAGAUUCCCCCAGUAGCGGCGAGCGAACGGGGAGGAGCCCAGAGCCUGAAUCAGUGUGUGUGUUAGUGGAAGCGUCUGGAAAGGCGCGCGAUACAGGGUGACAGCCCCGUACACAAAAAUGCACAUGCUGUGAGCUCGAUGAGUAGGGCGGGACACGUGGUAUCCUGUCUGAAUAUGGGGGGACCAUCCUCCAAGGCUAAAUACUCCUGACUGACCGAUAGUGAACCAGUACCGUGAGGGAAAGGCGAAAAGAACCCCGGCGAGGGGAGUGAAAAAGAACCUGAAACCGUGUACGUACAAGCAGUGGGAGCACAGAGCAAUCUGUGUGACUGCGUACCUUUUGUAUAAUGGGUCAGCGACUUAUAUUCUGUAGCAAGGUUAACCGAAUAGGGGAGCCGAAGGGAAACCGAGUCUUAACUGGGCGUUAAGUUGCAGGGUAUAGACCCGAAACCCGGUGAUCUAGCCAUGGGCAGGUUGAAGGUUGGGUAACACUAACUGGAGGACCGAACCGACUAAUGUUGAAAAAUUAGCGGAUGACUUGUGGCUGGGGGUGAAAGGCCAAUCAAACCGGGAGAUAGCUGGUUCUCCCCGAAAGCUAUUUAGGUAGCGCCUCGUGAAUUCAUCUCCGGGGGUAGAGCACUGUUUCGGCAAGGGGGUCAUCCCGACUUACCAACCCGAUGCAAACUGCGAAUACCGGAGAAUGUUAUCACGGGAGACACACGGCGGGUGCUAACGUCCGUCGUGAAGAGGGAAACAACCCAGACCGCCAGCUAAGGUCCCAAAGUCAUGGUUAAGUGGGAAACGAUGUGGGAAGGCCCAGACAGCCAGGAUGUUGGCUUAGAAGCAGCCAUCAUUUAAAGAAAGCGUAAUAGCUCACUGGUCGAGUCGGCCUGCGCGGAAGAUGUAACGGGGCUAAACCAUGCACCGAAGCUGCGGCAGCGACGCUGAUGCGUUGUUGGGUAGGGGAGCGUUCUGUAAGCCUGCGAAGGUGUGCUGUGAGGCAUGCUGGAGGUAUCAGAAGUGCGAAUGCUGACAUAAGUAACGAUAAAGCGGGUGAAAAGCCCGCUCGCCGGAAGACCAAGGGUUCCUGUCCAACGUUAAUCGGGGCAGGGUGAGUCGACCCCUAAGGCGAGGCCGAAAGGCGUAGUCGAUGGGAAACAGGUUAAUAUUCCUGUACUUGGUGUUACUGCGAAGGGGGGACGGAGAAGGCUAUGUUGGCCGGGCGACGGUUGUCCCGGUUUAAGCGUGUAGGCUGGUUUUCCAGGCAAAUCCGGAAAAUCAAGGCUGAGGCGUGAUGACGAGGCACUACGGUGCUGAAGCAACAAAUGCCCUGCUUCCAGGAAAAGCCUCUAAGCAUCAGGUAACAUCAAAUCGUACCCCAAACCGACACAGGUGGUCAGGUAGAGAAUACCAAGGCGCUUGAGAGAACUCGGGUGAAGGAACUAGGCAAAAUGGUGCCGUAACUUCGGGAGAAGGCACGCUGAUAUGUAGGUGAAGUCCCUCGCGGAUGGAGCUGAAAUCAGUCGAAGAUACCAGCUGGCUGCAACUGUUUAUUAAAAACACAGCACUGUGCAAACACGAAAGUGGACGUAUACGGUGUGACGCCUGCCCGGUGCCGGAAGGUUAAUUGAUGGGGUUAGCGCAAGCGAAGCUCUUGAUCGAAGCCCCGGUAAACGGCGGCCGUAACUAUAACGGUCCUAAGGUAGCGAAAUUCCUUGUCGGGUAAGUUCCGACCUGCACGAAUGGCGUAAUGAUGGCCAGGCUGUCUCCACCCGAGACUCAGUGAAAUUGAACUCGCUGUGAAGAUGCAGUGUACCCGCGGCAAGACGGAAAGACCCCGUGAACCUUUACUAUAGCUUGACACUGAACAUUGAGCCUUGAUGUGUAGGAUAGGUGGGAGGCUUUGAAGUGUGGACGCCAGUCUGCAUGGAGCCGACCUUGAAAUACCACCCUUUAAUGUUUGAUGUUCUAACGUUGACCCGUAAUCCGGGUUGCGGACAGUGUCUGGUGGGUAGUUUGACUGGGGCGGUCUCCUCCUAAAGAGUAACGGAGGAGCACGAAGGUUGGCUAAUCCUGGUCGGACAUCAGGAGGUUAGUGCAAUGGCAUAAGCCAGCUUGACUGCGAGCGUGACGGCGCGAGCAGGUGCGAAAGCAGGUCAUAGUGAUCCGGUGGUUCUGAAUGGAAGGGCCAUCGCUCAACGGAUAAAAGGUACUCCGGGGAUAACAGGCUGAUACCGCCCAAGAGUUCAUAUCGACGGCGGUGUUUGGCACCUCGAUGUCGGCUCAUCACAUCCUGGGGCUGAAGUAGGUCCCAAGGGUAUGGCUGUUCGCCAUUUAAAGUGGUACGCGAGCUGGGUUUAGAACGUCGUGAGACAGUUCGGUCCCUAUCUGCCGUGGGCGCUGGAGAACUGAGGGGGGCUGCUCCUAGUACGAGAGGACCGGAGUGGACGCAUCACUGGUGUUCGGGUUGUCAUGCCAAUGGCACUGCCCGGUAGCUAAAUGCGGAAGAGAUAAGUGCUGAAAGCAUCUAAGCACGAAACUUGCCCCGAGAUGAGUUCUCCCUGACUCCUUGA
rnacentral:rRNA from 1 species